GCGCCGGUGGUGUAAGGCGAAAUCACUGCCCGGAAAGCAGAAGAUGCGGGUUCGAGUCCCGCCUGGCGCA
rnacentral:tRNA from 1 species